UACGUAGGGUCCAAGCGUUGUCCGGUAUUAUUGGGCGUAAAGAGCUCGUAGGCGGCGUGUCGCGUCGGAUGUGAAAGCCCGGGGCUUAACUCCGGGUCUGCAUUCGGUACGGGCAUGCUGGAGUUCGGUAGGGGAGACUGGAAUUCCUGGUGUAGCGGUGAAAUGCGCAGAUAUCAGGAGGAACACCGGUGGCGAAGGCGGCGUUCUGGACUGCAACUGACACUGAGGAACGAAAGCCAGGGGAGCAAACGGG
rnacentral:rRNA from 1 species